rnacentral:rRNA from 1 species
GACGAACGCUGGCGGCGUGCUUAACACAUGCAAGUCGAACGGAAAGGCCCUGCUUUUGUGGGGUGCUCGAGUGGCGAACGGGUGAGUAACACGUGAGUAACCUGCCCUUGACUUUGGGAUAACUUCAGGAAACUGGGGCUAAUACCGGAUAGGAGCUCCUGCUGCAUGGUGGGGGUUGGAAAGUUUCGGCGGUUGGGGAUGGACUCGCGGCUUAUCAGCUUGUUGGUGGGGUAGUGGCUUACCAAGGCUUUGACGGGUAGCCGGCCUGAGAGGGUGACCGGGCACACUGGAAGUGAGAAACGGUACAGACUCAUACGGGAGGCAGCAGUAGGGAAUCUUCCGCAAUGGGCGAAAGCCGGACGGAGCAACGCCGCGUGAGUGAUGAAGGUCUUCGGAUCGUAAAACUCUGUUAUUAGGGAAGAACAAAUGUGUAAGUAACUAUGCACGUCUUGACGGUACCUAAUCAGAAAGCCACGGCUAACUACGUG